UUUUAAUUGAUAAUUUAAUAUUUAAUAAAGAAAAAAACUAUCCAAACCAAACCCUGUGUAAAAAAAGUGAAAAAGCAAAUACUUUUUCACGCCACUGUAUAUAAACCCUCUAAAUAUAGAACUUUUGCACCAAAUUCGAAUUAUUUUCUCCUGACGAGAACACAAAAAAGAACAAUAAACCUUUGACCCCAACUGUUCUUACCCAAACUGUGUAUACUUACAUUUAACCAAAAAUCAACCAAAACCACCACCAAAGGAUGAGUGUAAUUUAUGCUUAAAAAUAUGCCUUUAUCAAAGACAAUGGGCUUAAUUUAUUCUCUGGAAUAUAGUAUGUUUUUUGUGUCCCAAUAUUAAAACAGGUUAAUGAAACAAAGCCUAAUGUGAUUUUAACUAUCAAUAUUUCUUAAAAAUUAACAUGUAACCUGUUGUUUGGUGUCAGUGUCAGUGUGUGAGUGGGUUUUGUAGUGUCAGUAGAAGACCAGAAUAUAAAUAAUAAAGUGGAAGAAAGGGAGGAUGUACUCAUCGUUCACUCAGUGGUUUAGUGUGUAGCGGUUACAUGUUCAGCAUGGACGCUCUGCUUCUGCUCGCUCUGACUUUUUUUGCUGCUUUAAGAGUGCUGGCUGGCAGGAUGGUGCAGUUCCCCCCGGUGGUGAAGGUGAGGUCAGGAGAGUCAGUAAGAAUGAGCUGCCAGCUGAACGGAGUGAAGGCCUACUGCUACACUGUGGCCUGGCUGAGGGUCAGACCCAGCAGAGGGACACUGGCCAUCAGUAAAGAAGCUUCCGGACUCCUCUGGAAUCAAACCCUCCUCACACAGGGCACAGUGUGUCCAACAGUCAUUCAUAAUGCAAAACCUGAGGAUUCUGGGAUCUAUUACUGUACCGUUACAGACAAAAAGAAGAUCUAUAUUGGCAAUGGCACAAGUGUGUAUGUACAGGCACUCAGCUCCACAGCGCCCUCUGCUGAGCUGAUCUGGUUCCGCCGCAGCUCCGCUUCCAGCUCUGCAGUACCUGUGCAGUGUGUGGUGAAAGGUGUAGUGCCAUCACGGGUACAGGUGUACUGGAGUAAAGGUGUGAGGCGCGAGCGUGGUCAGGUGGAGUGUGUGUGGAGUGAGGGUGAAGUGUUUAUAGUGAGUCAGACGCUGCUGAGGCCUGAGGACUGUGAGAGAGGAGAGAGCUGCGCCUGUGUGGUGGAGCAUGAAGGACACACUCUCACCAAAACACUGCAACCAAACGAUAUGCAGGAGGGAUGCUACGCUGAUGUUGCUCUACACCGAGCUUUAGGUCUCACCGCCUCUCUUCUGCUCUUCAUCACUGCGGCCACAGCAGCGUCGUGCUCCACCAGGAAACAGCAUGCAGUAGAAGUGUGAUGUGUCACGUUUCUACAGAGUGAGUGUGAGGUUCUGGAAUCAACAUCAGCAUCCAAGUCCAAAAUGUAAAAAAGUUAUAGAUUAUUUUAAUUUUAAUUAUAAACAUAUUUUGUUGUUUUAAAUCUGUAAAAAAUAUAUAUAUUUAAAAAAAUAAUUAGAUCUGAUCAUCGUUUUGAACAAAAAUAAUUUUUACUACAUUGUUUGCAUUUUUCAAAUUCAAAAUAUUUUAAAUGUGUGUAAAUAAUGGAUUAUUUUUAUAGGUUCUUCUGUAUAUUCAGUACAUUUUCAGUUUUAUUUAGUGCUUAGAUCUAUAUAUUUAUUUAAACCUCUGCUGUAGACUAAUUACCUGAGCCUCACCACAAGCAUUUCAGUGCAUAAUUGUCCUGCCAUAUGUUGUGCAAAUGAUAAGUAAACAGUGAAAAACGUUAACAAUAUUCUUUGUCAUUCUCUAAUUGUGGGUUAUUUAUUUGAAAUAACUGGUUUAAAAUGGCUACUUUUAUAGCAACACCAUUAAAAGUAAAUGUGUAAAGUGCAGAUGCUCUUGUUUACAAACAGUCUGUUGAUAUCUGUUGAUGCUUGUUUGUAAUAAAAACAUUUUUACAUUCGCC
rnacentral:lncRNA from 1 species